GAAAGGCUACUACUAUAGUAGCUGGAAGUAGAGAUACUUCCCAAUUUGAG
rnacentral:ncRNA from 1 species